AAAAUUGGCAAAGAGGCCAGAAAAUGCUGGAAAACUUAUUGCUGUUAUCUUUCCCAACUUUGGAGAGCGUUAUCUGUCUACUGCACUCUUUGAUUCCAUUAGGCAUGAGGCAGAAAAUAUGACUUAUGACUGAUUGUUUCUGAAUAUCAGAAACUGCUUUAUGUAUGUUGUGCAAUCUACAUAUUUGAAAUAAUGAGAACUUCCUAUGGUCUGUUUGCUGUAUGAUCAACAGCUUGACUAAUAAAAGUUUGAUAGAUUGACUUGAUA